UUGAACGCUGGCGGCAGGCCUAACACAUUCCAGUCGAACGGUAACAGGGAUCAGCUUGCUGAUUCGCUGACGAGUGGCGGACGGGUGAGUAAUGUCUGGGAAACUGCCUGAUGGAGGGGGAUAACUACUGGAAACGGUAGCUAAUACCGCAUAACGUCGCAAGACCAAAGAGGGGGACCUUCGGGCCUCUUGCCAUCGGAUGUGCCCAGAUGGGAUUAGCUAGUAGUUGGGGUAACGGCUCACCUAGGCGACGAUCCCUAGCUGGUCUGAGAGGAUGACCAGCCACACUGGAACUGAGACACGGUCCAUACUCCUACGGGAGGCAGCAGUGGGGAAUAUUGCACAAAGGGCGCAAGCCUGAUGCAGCCAUGCCGCGUGUAUGAAGAAGGCCUUCGGGUUGUAAAGUACUUUCAGCGGGGAGGAAGGGAGUAAAGUUAAUACCUUUGCUCAUUGACGUUACCCGCAGAAGAAGCACCGGCUAACUCCGUG
rnacentral:rRNA from 1 species